rnacentral:rRNA from 1 species
UGACUGUAGGUGAAAGCUUACAUCUCUUCGGAGCAUUUUACGAGGUGCUGCAUGGUUGUCGUCAGCUCGUGCCGUGAGGUGUCGGGUUAAGUCCCAUAACGAGCGCAACCCCUACCUUUAGUUGCCAUCAGGUUAAGCUGGGGACUCUAAAGGAACUGCCUACGCAAGUAGUGAGGAAGGCGGGGAUGACGUCAAAUCAGCACGGCCCUUACGUCCAGGGCUACACACGUGCUACAAUGGCCGAUACAGAGGGCAGCUACCUGGUGACAGGAUGCAAAUCUCCAAAGUCGGUCUCAGUUCGGAUCGGAGUCUGCAACCCGACUCCGUGAAGUUGGAUUCGCUAGUAAUCGCGCAUCAGCCAUGGCGCGGUGAAUACGUUCCCGGGCCUU